AAUGAACGCUGGCGGCAGGCUUAACACAUGCAAGUCGAACGGUUGUAGCAAUACAGCAGUGGCGCACGGGUGAGUAACGCGUGGAUAUCUGCCUUUUGGUUCGGAAUAACUCCGGGAAACUGGAGCUAAUACCGGAUGGUUCCUACGGGAUAAAGAUUUAUCGCCAAAAGAUGAGUCCGCGUACGAUUAGCUAGUUGGCGGGGUAAUGGCCCACCAAGGCGACGAUCGUUAGCUGGUCUGAGAGGACGAUCAGCCACACUGGGACUGGGACACGACCCGGACUCCUACGGGAGGCAGCAGUGGGGAAUAUUGGACAAUGGGGGCAACCCUGAUCCAGCCAUGCCGCGUGAGUGAUGAAGGCCUUCGGGUUGUAAAGCUCUUUUGGCGGGGACGAUGAUGACGGUAACGGGAGAAUAAGCUCCGGCUAACUUCGUGCCAGCCGCCGCUGUAACAC
rnacentral:rRNA from 1 species